UACGUAGGUGACAAGCGUUGUCCGGAUUUACUGGGCGUAAAGAGCGCGCAGGCGGUCGUUCAAGUCGAGUGUGAAAGCCCCCGGCUCAACUGGGGAGGGUCACUCGAUACUGAUCGACUCGAAGGCAGGAGAGGGUAGUGGAAUUCCCGGUGUAGUGGUGAAAUGCGUAGAUAUCGGGAGGAACACCAGUGGCGAAGGCGGCAUCCUGGACCGGUAUUGACGCUGAGGCGCGAAAGCCAGGGGAGCAAACGGG
rnacentral:rRNA from 1 species